rnacentral:rRNA from 1 species
UAGGGAAUCUUCGGCAAUGGGGGCAACCCUGACCGAGCAACGCCGCGUGAGUGAAGAAGGUUUUCGGAUCGUAAAGCUCUGUUGUAAGAGAAGAACGUGUGUGAGAGUGGAAAGUUCACACAGUGACGGUAACUUACCAGAAAGGGACGGCUAACUACGUGCCAGCAGCCGCGGUAAUACGUAGGUCCCGAGCGUUGUCCGGAUUUAUUGGGCGUAAAGCGAGCGCAGGCGGUUUAAUAAGUCUGAAGUUAAAGGCAGUGGCUUAACCAUUGUUCGAUUAGGAAAAUGUUAAUCUUGAGUGCAGAAGGGGAGAGAGGAAUUCCAUGUGUAGCGGUGCAAUGCGUAGAUAUAUGGAGGAACACCGGUGGCGAAAGCGGCUCUCUGGUCUGUAACUGACGCUGAGGAUCGAAAGCGUGGGGAGCAAAGAGG